GGGAAACGCAAAAAAAAAACCAAAAUGGGGAUGAAAGAUGUAUUAUUAUUAUUCUAACAAGAGGAAAAUAAUCAAUAACACAUUCUGGUCCAGCGUCGUUUGUGUAUUCUGUGUGUGUAUGUGUGUGUGUGUGUGUAUGUGUGUGUGUGUAUGUUUGUUAGCGCGUGUCUGCGGGUCUGUGUGUGCGUGAUAACGCUAGUCCUU